GAUGAACGCUGGCGGCGUGCCUAAUACAUGCAAGUCGAGCGAACGGACGAGAAGCUUGCUUCUCUGAUGUUAGCGGCGGACGGGUGAGUAACACGUGGAUAACCUACCUAUAAGACUGGGAUAACUUCGGGAAACCGGAGCUAAUACCGGAUAAUAUUUUGAACCGCAUGGUUCAAAAGUGAAAGACGGUCUUGCUGUCACUUAUAGAUGGAUCCGCGCUGCAUUAGCUAGUUGGUAAGGUAACGGCUUACCAAGGCAACGAUGCAUAGCCGACCCGAGAGGGUGAUCGGCCACACGGGAACUGAGACACGGUCCAGACUCCUACGGGAGGCAGCAGUAGGGAAUCUUCCGCGAUGGGCGAGAGCCUGACGGAGCAACGCCGCGGGAGUGAUGAUGGUCUUCGGAUCGUAAAACUCUGUUAUUAGGGAAGAACAUAUGUGUAAGUAACUGUGCACAUCUUGACGGUACCUAAUCAGAAAGCCACGGCUAACUACGUG
rnacentral:rRNA from 1 species